rfam:Monodelphis domestica cont3.067047, whole genome shotgun sequence.
UAUAAGACGAGAAGACCCUGUGGAGCUUAAAAUUACAACUUAAAUUAAUUUAUACUAUACCCUAAGGGAUUAAUCUUACAAAACUUUUUAAGCUGAAUUUUUGGUUGGGGUGACCUCGGAGCACAAGCAACCCUCCGAAUGACAUAACUAAGACUAACACAUCUAAGUGCAACCUAAGCCAGUAAUUGACCCAAAACUUGAUCAACGGAACAAGUUACCCCAGGGAUAACAGCGCAAUCCUAUUUAAGAGCCCAUAUCGACAAUUAGGGUUUACGACCUCGAUGUUGGAUCAGGACACCCCAAUGGUGCAGCCGCUAUUAAAGGUUCGUUUGUUCAACGAUUAAAGUCCUACGUGAUCUGAGUUCAGACCGGAGAAAUCCAGGUCGGUUUCUAUCUAUA